rnacentral:lncRNA from 10 species
GGCAGAGGGGAGCUGGUCAAGGCAUCAGAGCUUGUGGGUGACCUGGGACAAGUGAAUCCUGCAUCUGCAAAAUAAGAUAAGAAAAUCAAGGCUCAGAGAGGUGAAGUCACUGAUCCAAAGUCACACAGCAGGUCAAAAGGAGAUCAUGUUUCCUGCCUGGAGGAGAGGCCCCGGUGGACUGGAAUAGGAGAAAGUGGAGGGGGUGUAUUUCAGGAUAGAAUCCUGCACCCUGCCAGGGACCACGCUUAUCCUUGGCUCACUCAAUAGGAUGCAAGGGCGUUUACUGUGGCCAGGUCUUGUGAGUGCCCAGAGCCCUGUGGCAAGAAGCCUCUGCCAGGGAAAGGGAUGCGGGGAAGUGGAGGCAGUGAUGGGGAAGCAGAGCCAGGAGAGACCCUUGGGCUUCCUUCCUUCAAGGCCUCUGGUCUCUAGCAGAGAGAAGAGAGGGAGCAGGUGAGAGCCCCACUUAGCUCUAGGCAAUAUUUUUUUUUCAGACAGGAUCCCACUCUGUCACCCAGGCUGGAGUGCAGUGGCACAAUCAUGACUCACUGCAGCCUCAACCUCCCAAGCUCAAGCAACGCUCCCAUCUCAGCCUCCCAAGCUCAAGCACCGCUCCCAUCUCAGCCUCCCAAGUUGCUUGGACUACAGGUGCACGCUAUCACGCCCAGCUAAUUUUUGUAUUUUUUGUAGAGAUGGGUUUUUGCCAUGUUGUUCAGGCUGCUCUUGAACUCCUGAGUUAAGUGAUCUGCCUUGCCUACCUUGGCCUCCCAAAGUGCUGGGAUUACAGGCAUGAGCCACUGCGUGCAGCCGAGCCAAACCUCAUUCUAGAUUCCAUCUCCAGGAAUAAUGAUGUGGGACCCACCACACAGCCCCCAUAGUCUGGCAAGUGAGACAGACAUUGAACCCACUCUAAAGAAGGGUCUCAUUAUCCCAAGAAAAAGACCACUUUGACCACAAGUCAAAGCUCUGGGAACCAACAUUUCUUAGUAAUUGGGAAAAAAAUGUUUAAUUGGAAUUUUGUUUUGAAAAAUGAAAUUUAAACUAUGAAAAUAUACACAUUUUAUCUUCCACAAACAACAUUUAGGUUAAUAUGCUAAUUCUUAGAUUAAUGUGCUAAUACUUAGUGUUAUGGUUUGACUGUCCCCUCCAAAACUUAUGAUGAAAUUUAUUUAUUUAUUUUAUUUUUUUUUUUUUUAGAUGGAGUUUUGUUCUUGUCACCCAGGCUGGAGUGCAAUGGCAUGAUCUCGGCUAAGUGCAACUCCUGCCUCCUGGGUUCAAGCAAUUCUCCUGCCUUAGCCUUUUGAGUAGCUGGGAUUACAAGUGGCCACCCCUAUACCCAGCUAAUUUUUAUAUUUUUAGUAGAGACAAGGUUUCACCAUUUUGGCCACGAUGGUCUUGAACUCCUGACCUCAAGUGAUCUGCCUUCUUUGGCCUCCCAAAGUGCUGGGAUUACAGUGGUGAGCCAUCAUGCCCGGCUGAUUUAUGAUGAAAUUUAAUUGCCAUUGUGAAGGUAUUAAGAGGUGGGACUAUUAAGAAGUGAUUAGGUCAUAAGGGCAAAACCCUCAUGAAUGGAUUAAUCUCUUUAUUGAAGGAGUGAGCUCAUGAUCAAGACACUGGAUUUAUUGUAAAAAUGAGUUCAGCUCUCUCUUGCUCACUGUCUAGUGCUCUCUUGCCCUUCUGCCUUCCACCAUGGGAUGAUACAGCAUGAAGACCCCCACCAGAUGCUGGUGCCAUACUCUUGGACUUCCCAGUCUUCAGAAGCAUGAGCCAAAUAAAUUUCUAUUGUUUACAAAUUACCCAGAGUGGUAUUCUGUUUUAGCAUCAGAAAAUGGAGUAAGACAAUUAGAGUACAAAAAGUUCAUUGGAGUAGGCAUAGUUCUUCCCACAAAAUUGCCUGAUGGUCCUUACUAGAACCUUCUGGGUCCUAACAACCAGAAUGCUUCAUCACAUCCCCCUGAGUUCUUUGGGCCACUCUGAGUUCUAUGACAUUCAAAUCAUUUUCUUCCAAAGCACAGGUUCAUCUUUCUUCACGUUGGGGGUUUUCAUUAUUUAGACAGGGCUGACCCAGCCAGAUAGAUAGAUCCUUGGUUUGUCAGCCACUGUGUGCAGAACCCAGGAGCUCUCCAACGUAACUCUCAUCAACUUCAAGAAAUUCUACAACUUUGAAGUUUUCCUUUGCUACCAGCUUGCAUAAGCAGACCUGACAGACAGAAGAGAUGCAGAUGGGGGGUGGACAGAUGCUGGUGCUAGGUAGGGUGAGAUGCUUGACUGGGAACGAAGUAAGUGGCCAGGACAGUACUAAAUAUAUUCAUGUUUUAACAACUCUUAACUUCCAA